rnacentral:rRNA from 1 species
GACGAACGCUGGCGGCGUGCUUAACACAUGCAAGUCGAACGGAAAGGCCCUGCUUUUGUGGGGUGCUCGAGUGGCGAACGGGUGAGUAACACGUGAGUAACCUGCCCUUGACUUUGGGAUAACUUCAGGAAACUGGGGCUAAUACCGGAUAGGAGCUCCUGCUGCAUGGUGGGGGUUGGAAAGUUUCGGCGGUUGGGGAUGGACUCGCGGCUUAUCAGCCUGUUGGUGGGGUAGUGGCUUACCAAGGCUUUGACGGGUAGCCGGCCUGAGAGGGUGACCGGCCACAUUGGGACUGAGAUACGGCCCAGACUCCUACGGGAGGCAGCAGUGGGGAAUAUUGCGCAAUGGGCGGAAGCCUGAUGCAGCAACGCCGCGUGCGGGAUGACGGCCUUCGGGUUGUAAACCGCUUUCGCCUGUGACGAAGCGUGAGUGACGGUAAUGGGUAAAGAAGCACCGGCUAACUACGUG